CCCUGCCAUUUGUACACACCGCCCGUCGCUUGUAGUAACGAAUGGUCUGGUGAACCUUCUGGACUGCUCAGCAAUGAGAGGAAAAAUAAGUAAACCCUACCAUUUGGAACAACAAGAAGUCGUAACAAGGUAUCUGUAGGUGAACCUGCA
rnacentral:rRNA from 1 species